GACGAACGCUGGCGGCGUGCUUAACACAUGCAAGUCGAACGGUGAAGCUCCAGCUUGCUGGAGUGGAUCAGUGGCGAACGGGUGAGUAACACGUGAGCAACCUGCUCUAGUCUCUGGAAUAGGCGCUGGAAACGGCGCCUACGCCAGUACACGAUAAGGCUCCGGAUGGGCACUUUCUGGUCAGUGUUUCGGUCGGGGAUGGGCGCGCGGCUUAUCAGCUUGUUAGUUAGGUAAUGGCUCACCAAGGCGGCGACGGAUCGCCGGCCUGAGAGCGCGAACGGGCACCCUGCGACUGAGAGACGGACCAGACUCCUACAGGAGGCAGCAGUGGCGAAUAUUGCACAGUGGGCGAGAGUCUGAUGCAGCGACGCCGCGUGUGUAAUGACGGCCUGCGGGGUGUAAACCGCAUUCAGCAGGGAAGAAGCUGAUGUGACGGUACCUGAAGAAUAAGCACCGGCUAACUUCGUG
rnacentral:rRNA from 1 species